rnacentral:rRNA from 1 species
AGGCGAGGCCGACAGGCGUAGUCGAAUGGAUGAACGGGUGGAUAUUCCCGUACCGACCAUGGACCGGCAAAACCGAGACGGUGAGUACUAACCUCCGCCUCGUGGUGGUUCCUUCCUUCGGGUUGGUCCCGCCGCGUGGUGUUGGGAGCGUAGCCGCAGUAGGUCAGCGCAGGGGUGACACGGAAUGGGAGCCGGCCGCGGAGGUGGUUUUCCGUGGUCAAGCACGCAGCCAGUCAUGUAGGCAAAUCCGCAUGGCGCGCAUGGCGAGGUGUGAUGAUGGGAGCCGUUAUGGCUCGAUAUCCGGUUGUCCAGGCCGUCGAGAAAAGCCUCGGCGUGAGGGCCAUGGCCGCCCGUACCCCAAACCGACACUGGUGGUCAGGUAGAGAAUACCAAGGCGAUCGAGCGAAUCCUGGUCAAGGAACUCGGCAAAUCACUCCCGUGCCUUCGGUAUAAGGGAGACCCGCUGGGGUGAACCGGCUAGCCCGGGGAGCUUUGGUGGGUGGCACAGACCAGGGGGUAGCGACUGUUUACCAAAAACACAGGUGCAUGCGAAGGCGAAAGCCGCUGUAUAUGCACUGACGCCUGCCCGGUGCCGGAAGGUUAAGAGGAUCCGUCAAUCCCUUCGGGGACGAAGCGGUGAAUUCAAGCCCCGGUAAACGGCGGUGGUAACUAUAACCAUCCUAAGGUAGCGAAAUUCCUUGUCGGGUAAGUUCCGACCUGCACGAAUGGCGUAACGACUUCCCCACUGUCUCGACCAGGAGCUCGGCGAAAUUGCAGUACGAGUAAAGAUGCUCGUUAAGCGCAGAAGGACGAAAAGACCCCGGGACCUUUACUAUACCUUGGUAUUGGCGUUAGGCGCGGAUUGUGUAGCAUAGGCGGGAGGCUUCGAAGCGUGGGCGCCAGCUCAUGUGGAGCCGCAAGGUGAAAUACCGCUCUGUUCUCGUUUGACGUCUAACCUCGACAAGUCAUCCUUGUCAGGGACAGUGCCUGGCGGGUAGUUCAACUGGGGCGGUUGCCUCCCAAAGAGUAACGGAGGCGCUCAAAGGUCCGCUCAGCCCGGUUGGCAAUCGGGUGUCGAGUGUAAUCGCACAAGCGGGCUUGACUGCGAGGACGACGGUCCGAGCAGGGACGAAAGUCGGAGAUAGUGAUCCGGUGCCGGCGCACGGGCGCGGCAUCGCUCAACGGAUAAAAGGUACCCCGGGGAUAACAGGCUGAUCAUUCCCAAGAGUCCAUAUCGACGGGAUGGUUUGGCACCUCGAUGUCGGCUCGUCGCAUCCUGGGGCUGGAGCAGGUCCCAAGGGUUCGGCUGUUCGCCGAUUAAAGCGGCACGCGAGCUGGGUUCAGAACGUCGUGAGACAGUUUGGUCUCUAUCCUCUGCGCUCGUUGGAAUCCUGAGGAGGCCUGCCCAUAGUACGAGAGGACCUGGGUGGACGAACCUCUGGUAUGCCGGUUGUCGCGCCAGCGGCACGGCCGGUUGGCUACGUUCGGGAGGGAUAACCGCUGAAAGCAUCUAAGCGGGAAGCCUGCUCCAAGAUUAGGAUUCCAUGGAUCUUCGAGAUCCUGUAGCCCGCAUGUUGAACACGUGUUUGAUAGGCCGGAGGUGGAAGCCCCGUGAGGGGUGGAGCCGACCGGUACUAACGGGCGACGGCGACACAAC